UGCACGGGGGGACGGGGCGCAUCCCGCGCGAAAACUUUACAAUGCGGGAAACCGCGAUAAGGGGACACCGAGUGCCAGCAUAUUAUGUUGGCUGUCCACAUGUGUAAACGGCAUGUGUUAGCAAGGGCCGGGCAAGACCGGUGCCAGCCGCCGCGGUAACACCGGCGGCCCGAGUGGUAAUCACUUUUAUUGGGUCUAAAGGGUCCGUAGCCGGUUUGAUCAGUUCUUCGGGAAAUCUGACAGCUUAACUGUUAGGCUUCUGGGGAAUACUGUCAGACUUGGGACCGGGAGAGGUAAGAGGUACUACAGGGGUAGGAGUGAAAUCUUGUAAUCCCUGUGGGACCACCAGUGGCGAAGGCGUCUUACCAGAACGGGUCCGACGGUGAGGGACGAAAGCUGGGGGCACGAACCGGAUUAGAUACCCGGGUAGUCCCAGCCGUAAACGAUGUUCGCUAGGUGUCAGGGACGGUGCGACCGUUUCUGGUGCCGCAGGGAAGCCGUGAAGCGAACCACCUGGGAAGUACGGCCGCAAGGCUGAAACUUAAAGGAAUUGGCGGGGGAGCACUACAACGGGUGGAGCCUGCGGUUUAAUUGGACUCAACGCCGGAAAACUCACCGGGGGCGACAGCAAGAUGUAGGCCAGGCUAAAGACCUUACCUGAAUCGCUGAGAGGAGGUGCAUGGCCGUCGUCAGUUCGUACUGUGAAGCAUCCUGUUAAGUCAGGCAACGAGCGAGACCCGUGCCCACUGUUGCCAGCAUGUCCUUCGGGAUGAUGGGUACUCUGUGGGGACCGCUGGUGCUAAACCAGAGGAAGGUGCGGGCUACGGUAGGUCAGUAUGCCCCGAAUCUCCCGGGCUACACGCGGGCUACAAUGGCUGGGACAAUGGGUUCCUACACCGAAAGGUGAUGGUAAUCUCCUAAACCCAGCCGUAGUUCGAAUUGAGGACUGUAACUCGUCCUCAUGAAGCUGGAAUCCGUAGUAAUCGCGUUUCAACAUAGCGCGGUGAAUACGUCCCUGCUCCUUGCACGAAUUCGCCGA
rnacentral:rRNA from 1 species